UUGGAGGGCAAGUCUGGUGCCAGCAGCCGCGGUAAUUCCAGCUCCAAUAGCGUAUAUUAAAGUUGUUGCAGUUAAAAAGCUCGUAGUUGAAUUUCGGGGUCAGUAGAUUGGUCAUGCCACCGGUAUGUACUGGUCUCACUGAUUCCUCCUUCCUGAUGAGCCGUAAUGCCAUUAAUUUGGUGUUGCGAGGAAUCUGGACUGUUACUUUGAAAAAAUUAGAGUGUUUAAAGCAGGCUAACGCUUGAAUACAUUAGCAUGGAAUAAUGAAAUAGGACGUUCGAUCUUAUUUUGUUGGUUUCUAAGAUUGACGUAAUGAUUAAUAGGGAUAGUUGGGGGCAUUAGUAUUCAAUUGUCAGAGGUGAAAUUCUUGGAUUUAUUGAAGACUAACUACUGCGAAAGCAUUUGCCAAGGAUGUCUUCAUUAAUCAAGAACGAAAGUUAGGGGAUCGAAGACGAUCAGAUACCGUCGUAGUCUUAACCAUAAACUAUGCCGACUAGGGAUCGGAUGAUGUUAAUUUUUUAAUGACUCAUUCGGCGCCUUACGGGAAACA
rnacentral:rRNA from 1 species